GAAAAACUGUUACUGUUUGGGACAGCCACAAAAAAAUAUUUAUAAUGAAAAACUUAUGUCAAUAGUGCAGCCAAAGGUAGAGAAACAGAACUCCCUCUUUUGGUCAUCAUCUUCCAACUCCACAGUAUGUUUAAAUUGACAAUUCUUAUUUCCAUUCUUAAAAUUUUCUUUAGAAAUAGUAAAUGGGGCUCCAGGUUUUGCAGCUCAGUUUAUUGUUUUCUUUAUGCAAACCAAAAUGUCACUGGUUCAUAAACACCUGUAACUUCCAGUACUUUGUUCCUUAUUCAACACAAGGUAUUAUUAUGAUUGUUUUAUUCCUUCACUUUUUUUUUUUCCUUUUUAAACUAGAGAAGAAAGAGACAGUCACACGUACCAACAGAGUGAUGUGGAUCCUCCAGGAAGGCUAAUUAAAGCAGUGUGGAAAAUGAAAACUACACCAAGCUGGCAUGACCUGUACACUGGUAAGGAGAGAUAUGCAAACAUACAGAAUUUUAGUUAUAAUCACCAUGGCCAUAAAUCAGCCUGCUUCUGGAAGAUACUCUUAUUGUAAUGAAUUUCCUCAAUAUCUUGUGUUUGACAACAGUCAGAGAUAACAAGCCAUCAGCAAGAAGAAAUAUGACACCUGACAUUUUAAGUGGCCUGUUAGUAUUAUUUAUUCUGCUAAAAAAUACAGUUCCUCAUCCACUAAGUGUUGAAAGGAGGAAGCAAAGAGCACCUCUCACUGUGUAAAUUCAUGACAAGUGUGCUGUCCCAGGCAUCCCUCAUAUGAAGAGGGAACAUUUGGCUCUGUAUGAAGAUGCUGACUGCAGUUCAUCAUGGCUGUAGGAAGAAAUUUGGCAGAGAGGCACCUCCUGAUCACAGCAGACACAGGAGUCACACAACAGCCACUUGGACUGCAGGUACCUGUGGUCCUUGGAGAGUGCAGGUAGGGUACAGUCACACCAUGGAACUGCAAAGCUGAUUAUUUACAGCAAAACCUGUGUUGGCAGAACUCAGGAGACUCCCGUGGCAGCUGGAAGGCAACUGGAGGCAUUUGAGAGGGUAAGCAGCCUUGUAUCUAAGCACAUUUCAUAGCAGGUAAAACAGAAACCUCUGACUUUCUGCAGUGCUGAGAAUUUGUGGGGUCUGUGAUGGUGAGAGAGAGCUUUUAUGGUGGAUGAUGGCCACAUCCCUGGAAAUGUGAGCUGAACUGACUCAGGUGAGUUGUGGCAGAGUUUAGCACAGAGCAGCAGUGGGCAGAACCCCUCUAACAAGCUCCAGCUGCUGGAGGAAGGGAGCCAGGCACUGCCUGCUGAAGCAUCACCUCCUGCACCUGGGGACAAUGGGAUGCCUUUGCAGUUAGUGGCAAAAAUAAAAAAAAAAUGGAGGAAAGAAAAUAAAUAAGCAUGGAAAAUGGAACAGAGAUCUGAAUUUGGGUGUGGCAAACAAAACAAGUGGUACAAAGGAAGAGAGAAAUGUUUGAGCCCUAGAGGAAGAGAUGUUAGAGCAGUAAUUUCAAAAUGAGAUUUUGGUGGCUGCAGGGAAGGAGGGGAAAGCCACCAAGUACAGGACACUGUUCUGUAGACAUGUGGGGAAUGGGCAGCAGAAAAGAGAGCAGGAAUGAAGGAGGGACUGAAACAGGAUGGAGAAACAGAAAAGAUGAGAAGGAAAAAAAGGAUCCACUUUUGUAAGUGGAUCUACACUACACAAAGAAAAGCUGAUGAAGUAGAAUAAUGAAAAAAACAUGUAAAUUGAACUGAAGGAAACUAAAAUGAUGGGAAGAGUGAGGGGUGGAGAAUGGAAUAAGGAGAACAAACAUUGGGAAUAUUGAUAAGUAGAAAAAAUAGAAGAAUUGGUAACCUGUAUUUAGAUAAUGUGGGCUUUGUCAAGUUCUCAAUUUCCCACAAUCUAAGUAAAAGAGAUACCAUGAUGUAUGAAGAAAAUAGUGUUUCAUGAUAUUAGUUUGCCUUACAUCUCAGGAAAAAGUGUCUACUUUAUAGAAAUGAGACUAAAACUCACACUCAGUACUAGACAUAAGACUGAGAACUCAGCCCAAAAUCCUGCCUGCUCCUGCAGUUCACUUUGUCAUUGAAGUUUUGGGGAAUGGAGCAGUUAAGGAAGUGCAAGUACCUUUUACACCAAGGCUUUCUGGAUCUUGAAUGGCAAGAUGAAGUUAUCCUGGCUGAUAGGUAGUGAUUUAUUCACAGAUGUGGAAGCUGGAUAUAAAUUUCAGAGAUCCUUUCAUGAAGACAGUUAAAUGGAUAGUGUAUGUGAUACAAGAAAGGUUGACAAAGCUGAAGUUUGCAGUUGGGUGACAAAAGUUGAAGGAUGAAGACUUUUUAAGUCAGACACAUUCUAAAAAAGGCAUUUUUGCAUCUAUCUCCCAUUGAAAAGAGUAAGAGGAUUCAGACCUAAGUUUAGAAAUAAUUAGGGCAUAAAGAGAUAGAGUUGUCUGUCUGGGAGAGGGGGGAGAACUGAACAGUGCCUAAGAUACUAAGCUCCAUUAGGAGAAGUUUCUGACUGGGUUUUUUGCUGCAUAGGCUGCUUUUCUUUGGGAUGUGUUGCACUGAAGUGAAUGGCAAACCUCUGUGUAUCCUCACAGAUGCACUGAUGAGGGCAUGGGAUAAAAGUGGGAUUUCAUAAAGUUCUUCCAGGCAUGAAGUGAGCAAAAGGUGGACUGAAGACACACUGCAAUGAAAGAAAAAAAAUAAAGGAAGUAAUACAUGGAGAAAGAAAGCAAAAAAAUGGCUUUUAGGGAUGAAAUUCUGCAGAGGAGGGGAAGAUUUUGUAAAGGUUCACAUUUAUGCAUUAAUUGGGAGAAUUAGAAUCUGUGUAUUGAGCUUCAUGCCCAACUUUCUGAGAGGUUCAAGAGCUGCAGUGAUAACCAACGAUUAAAUCCACUUCUGGGCUGAAGAGAGCCCAAGCUACAACCAGUCACAACUGACCUACUUGGUACAGCAGAGACACCUGACAGUGUCUCAGAGGAGAAACCAAGGAGCAGAUGGGAGUACAGCCUGAUACAUCACUCUGGGACCAGUCUCUUCUGAACAAAAUCAAAUGGUUUUGAGAGUACAAAACACACUGCAGAGCCCUGGAUGUUGCAGACCAGAAAAUGUCACCAUUCCCUGGACAGAAAUCUGGGUUUGGCUAAAAUUCCAGAAAGGUUGACAGCAAUGUUUCUUUAAGGGCUCCUCCUUCCCUCUCUGGACUUUUCUCUCUCCAAACUCUGGAACACAUUCCAGCCAUCAGUACUGAGCACUGUUUCUUGGCACUGAGGCUUCAGUGGGGUUGAAGCAAGACCCAGCUGCACAGCUCUUGCUGUGCAAAUCAAACCAUAGGGCAAUAAUGUACAUCACUGGGCUGAGAACACAGAGGAGAGAGUUCUUUAUGAGAUGUUUUAGCUCAGAGAUCUCAUUUGCAUUCAUUCUUCUCAGCCAAAGAAUCUCCCCCUCCUUACCUGGUUUACAAAUGGGUUGGAGAUUGAGCUUCUUUCUGUUCAGUGAGGUGAGGGAUCAUUUUACCAGCCUUGGCAGUGUGCUGCUCUUUCCCUGCACAACAUCUGCUGCAGCUUUCAUGGCUUGAAUUGUUCCUGGACUUGUUUUAAAAGUCAUGUUUCAGAAAUGCCUUUGAGGAUAUGAAUUAUUAGUCAUUGUUUUAUCUUCUAGGGUGUUCUUCAUUUAUCUUGGUUAUUUUCCUUCUUAAAAUAAGACUGAAGAGGUUCUGGAGUUGAAAGUUUACAGGUUUUAAUUCAGGUUUAGGCUAAAGAUACCAAGAAUGGUACAGUAAUUCAUAGCAAUAGGAUUUUAGUGCAGUUUCAGGAAGUCAUUAAUUUUUGUACAACAAUAAACUGGGAUUUAAUCUCCUUCUUUGUUCUCCUUACCACUGUAGUAUUUGUGUACACACUUUUCACAAACACAUGACAACUCUGACAUUCACUGUUCCAAAGCCUUUGCAUCAUUUGUGCCUCAUACCUCAUUUCUCCAUCACUUCAUGUAUGACAAGGUGUUUGUUUGAUAUUUAGUGCACUUUUAAACCACAGGGUUUUUUUUCCCUGUAAAGUAACUAAAAAAGAGAUUUGGCUUUUCAAUUUUUUCAUUUCAUUCUGAUUAAUAUGUUUAAUUGUUUUCCAGAGCACUUCAUAUUUUCAUCUUGGACUCUGUAUUUUACUCAGCACUUACUCUGCCUAUGACAUCCCCUGUGCCAAACUUCCAAAGGCUGUUUGGGACAUACAGUUGCUAGUAGGACAUUUUGGAGACAAAAGGUUUGUGCAAGUUUAAUUUGGAGCGUGAACUGGUCUGAAGAAAGUGACAGCAGCUUUGUUGUACUUGUAUGGCAUUGGAGGAAUACAAGGUAGCCCAAACAAACAAAGCAUCAUGUGAGGCUUCUGUCCAGAACACUGAAUUGCAGCACAGGGCUGGAACUUCUGUGGCUGGCAGAAAUAGUCCAGUACCAUGAGGACAGACACUGUUCUUCAGUGGAAAUGUGGGUGUAGAUUUGCAUUCUGGAUGCAAAUGAAGUCUUGCUGCUUUUGCUGAUCCCUUGCUAGUGGAGACUGACACCCGUUUGCAGAAGAAUCAGCACACAGAUUCCCCAAGGUUACCAAUGGGGAACUUCUGCACAGAACUGCAUCAUCUCCAGCCAAGACUUCAUUCCUUUGCUCCCAACACUCUCUACUUUCCAAAUUAUCCAUUGAACUCCUGUGCUCCUCCAAAAGGAAAAAAAAAAAGGAAAUGGUGUACAAGGCAGAAAGGUAGGGAGGGAUACUGGCUAUAAGGUUAGAGCAGCUUUAUGAAUGAACCCAAAAUUUUGGUUUUGCUGAACAAUUUCCAGUGGAAACUGACACAAGUGUGAAUUUUGCCAUCUUAUUUCACUGAACUUUUGAAAUGAAGGUGUUACUGGUUAAAUGCCAACUUUCAGUGUUUCAAAUGAUCCUGGGUGAGGGGCAGGAAGGAAGAGCAAAAAAUCACCCAUCAAAACAAUAAGUCUUUAAUCUAUUUAUUGAUGGGCCUUUAGUCUUCUGAUGGUUCAGUUAAGACUAAAACCAUCCAUAGGCUUCUCUGUUCUGUCCCUUGUCACCUCAAUCCAUACCUCUGUCAGAUGUUUCUGUAAUGAGUUCUAGAUUGACUUCAUUUUUAGAAAACAAACAGAAGGAGAAUGGCAUUACCUUAACCUGAGACAGUCUCUGUAUCAUGAUCUACAUUGUAGAUCUAGGGGGGGAAUCAAGUAUUUUAAAUAAUAAUAUAUAAUAAUAUAAAGGGAAUAAUAAUACAUAAUAAUAUAAAGGAAGGAGGUUAAAGGAACUGACAAUUCUCCAUUUUUUCUGGAUAGCUCCUGCUAGCUUCUGCUCUUUGAGCAGAGAACCCACAUGUGCCUGUAAUGUUCAAGAUCUUUUGAUGUAACUGAUGGGUGAAAUCCACAGCAUUCACUGUAUAUCGAGUUUGACUAUUUCUACACCAGCACUAAUAAUUACCUGUACUCCAUUCCUAGAAUUCCUGUGCAAGUUUCUCUUUUUGUAUCAUUUAAAAUGGAGUAGUACAGCAGAGAGGAGCUGGAAUCCCUGGGCUGAAGAAUUCAGUCUAGAAACUUACUUCCAACGUCAAACAAGAGACAGAGUGUAUGAAAAGAUAAAUUAUUCAGUAAUGGGUCCUACACACUUAUAAUGCACAAGUUGUAAUGAAUCUCAGUUGCUCUUGUAAUUUUGUAAAGUUGUUUACCUAAUAUGGUAGAUGUGCCAUAUGGUACACUAAAGAGAGUGUUAGAAUGAGGACGUGAAGAUUUCGAGGUUUUUAUUUCUAGUUUUGUAGGCAUCUGUAAACUACAUUCAAGCUGUCCUAGAAUGAGAGCAGGGCAGGAAUGCAGGCUGCUCUGCCCUCCAUGCUCACUGCUGCUGCCACCUGAUAACAUCCUCCAUCUCUUCCUCCCCUGUUCCUCGGGCACUGUGGCCCAGCAUGGGGCUGUGCCCUGGCUGGAUGCCAUCAAAGAAAGUCUUUCAGCCACUCUCCACCUUUAGGCUGGCUUAGUUUAAGUCAAGCUUUUUCACCCUUAAUAAAUUAUUUGAGCAGCUGAUUAACUCUUCUGCUGGGUAGGGAAUGUGCCCAGGCUUCUAUUCCAGAGAGUUCUUUGGUAUGUUGCUUAUAGAAUUUCACCAUAGCUAAAACUAGCAACGUGCUUGACUGAGGCAGCAGCAAAGAGAUUGGGACUGCCCUGCUCAAAGCAGCAUUUCUGUCUUGUAAGAAAAGGGUAACAUGACCUGAAGUGGUGUCUGCAAAAUCACAUCUACUUUGCAGCACUGUAAUUUGUCAAAAAUUGAUAAAAUGGGAGUUAAAAUUCAUACAGAUGAAAAGGGCAGUUUCUUGUUCACCCUUGAGUUUCAAGUGAUGACUGAGAAAAGCAUUUAAGUACAAGAAUAAAAUAUUAAUAUAAAAUUCAGAGGAUGUAGGCAGUCUCUCGGGGUGAUGCCACAGGGGUAAGUGAGCAGAGCUUUGGGAAAGGCUUAACAUUGUAAUUUUUAGUUAUCAGCCAAAGCCUAGUGCAGGUGAGAAGAGAACUUAGAAACUAGAAGAGUAAUAUCCCUCACUAUGAGCUGAACUUCUAGGAUUUUUGAUUUAAAGGUAUUUGCUCUAUUCUUUGGGGCCUGUAUGUUAAGAGCAAAUACACAUCAGUUUCUAUGGGAAUUUUUGGCAAACAGCUUCUCCCUAGCAGGUAUAUUUGCAUAUUUGGGGACAGGGUGAGAACUGGACAGUACUUGAGCACUGUUCCCAUUGCUCAUGGGGUCGACUGUCAAGCAGAUCAAUUUAAUUCAUGUUAGAGUACUGCAAGUUUAGUGAUCACCACAAAUGUGUGAUGGGGGAAGAGCUGACACUCACAUCUGGGCAACCCUAUGUAGAGAAAACUAGGACAUAUUUAAAGCGCUCUCCUUUUCAUAGAUAAAAAAUGGCACUUGUUCCUCCAGGCAGCAGCUUUCAGGCCAGUCAAUUCCCCAGAAUCAUCAACCAGCAGGUGCUCAGCCCAUCCCACUACAACAGAGCUCCAGGCUCUAAUGCUGCCCAUUCCCAAAACAUAACAGCAAAGCUUAUUUUAAAAUCGUGAUAUAAGAGGUGCUAUUUUAAGCUUGCUACCCCUUAAAACUUGAAAGUUAAGUUAAAUCAGGCAUUGGAAUAAGUUGCCCAGAGAGGUGGUGGAGUCACCACCCCUGCAGGUGUUUAAGAGGCAUCUGGAGCUGGUGCUGGGAGAUGUGAUUUAGUGGUUUAAGGGUUACAGUGGCAGUGCAGUUGGACUUGAUCUUAAAGGUCUCUUCCAACCUUGAUGACUCUAUGAUUCUGUUCUGUGAAAGAU